UGAACCUCCUCGCCUCCUUCCCAUUUGUGCGUCGUCGCUGCGCGGUGUACGCUUGCCGUCCCACUGCUCUUUUUUAGCGAGUGAAGACGGGCACGGGUGCGGGUCUCCGGCGUCGAUGUCUGUGCACUAUGUCGAUGCCUUCAUGCGCGCGGCCCUCAGGGAAGCCGAGCUGGCGCUUGAAGAAGGCGAAGUGCCCGUUGGCUGCGCGCUGGUGCGCACGGACGCCAAUGAGACGGUGUACGCGAAGCUCGCGCUCCAGUCGUCAGACGCUGUUACCAAUGCGCCACCUCACGCAGCCUCGUCGCUCCGCUGCGACCAGCUGGUCGAGUCGUGCAUCGCUGCGCGCGGCCGUAAUCAAACCAAUCUGCAACACCAUGCUCUGGCCCACGCUGAGUUCAUCGCCGUUCAGAAGCUUAUCGAUGACGCAACGAGAGGCGGAGACGGAAGCGCGGGUGCAAGUUCAAGUAAAGCCGGUGCUGGCGAAGGAGAGAAGGAACUAGUUGAGGACGGGAAACAAAACGGAUUGACCUCCUCACCAACUACCCCGCCACUGUCCGGCCUGGCUGAUUAUGUCCUCUACGUCACCGUUGAGCCGUGCGUGAUGUGCGGUGCGAUGCUUUUGUACAACCGAAUCGCUCACGUCUUUUUCGGCUGCCGCAACCCGCGCUUUGGCGGCAACGGCACCGUGUUGGCGCUGCAUGCAUCGCCCUUUCCACAGCAGCGGCUGCGGCGGCAGCCGUCGCAACCAGAUCAGCCAGCAGCCAGCACGCCACGCUUCGCGGGUAUGUCGAAGGGCUCGCCCAGCGUUGAUGAGGGCGGGAUCGUCUGUAGUGGGGAGUGGUGGCCCGGGUACGUGAGUGAGGGCGGCCAUACCGAGGCAGAGGCCAUCAGCCUCCUCCAACGUUUCUACGAGCGCGAGAACCCCAACGCACCGGGGCACAAGCGCCGCCGGAAGGCUUGAGGCUAUUCCAUCUCUCCCUCCUUCUCUCUCAGCCUCUCCUCCUCCCGGAGCGCGUCUGCGUGUAUGUCUGUGGGAGUGAAGUGAAAGUAAUGAUUGAGGCAGCUGCUCUGAGAGAGCGAACAACAGCCGCACACCCGAAAAUACAGCGAAUCACAACACAUACACACAGUGAAGAUGUACGUGCAAGACGUGUGGCAUCACCGUUGGUGGGUCGGACUUCGCCUUUUUUUGUCCCCGCUCCCUCUCUUGGGCACUGCUGGUACACGUGACGCUCCUGCGCUAGCGCGGCAUGCCUCGCGCGUCUCAGUGUCGCUCUUCCUGCAUCUUCCCUUGCUGCCAAAGAGCUUCCUCUGCGUCCCUCUUCCUCACCUCCGCUGCCGCCUAAACGCAUACCCUCGCCUCCACACGUACGAGCAAACGCGCGCAG
rnacentral:misc_RNA from 1 species